rnacentral:rRNA from 1 species
GAUCAUGGCUCAGAUUGAACGCUGGCGGAAUGCUUUACACAUGCAAGUCGAACGGCAGCACGGGGCAACCUGGUGGCGAGUGGCGAACGGGUGAGUAAUACAUCGGAACGUGCCCAAUCGUGGGGGAUAACGUAGCGAAAGUUACGCUAAUACCGCAUACGAUCUACGGAUGAAAGCGGGGGAUCGCAAGACCUCGCGCGAGUGGAGCGGCCGAUGUCAGAUUAGGUAGUUGGUGGGGUAAAGGCUCACCAAGCCAACGAUCUGUAGCUGGUCUGAGAGGACGACCAGCCACACUGGAACUGAGACACGGUCCAGACUCCUACGGGAGGCAGCAGUGGGGAAUUUUGGACAAUGGGCGCAAGCCUGAUCCAGCCAUUCCGCGUGCAGGAUGAAGGCCUUCGGGUUGUAAACUGCUUUUGUACGGAACGAAACGGCGAGCUCUAAUACAGUUUGCUAAUGACGGUACCGUAAGAAUAAGCACCGGCUAACUACGUG